GGAGGCGGGAAGGGGGUCUUCUUCAUGAAGAAGCCCCUGCUGAUACCGAAGGGUCACCGCGUGCCGCCCCCGGUGGAGGACAACACACGUGCCGCCGCCGUGUGGGCCCCCGCCGCGGGACCGCGCUCCCCUCGCGCCGGCAAACCGCCGCACGUGGAGACGGGCCCGCGGGGGUCCCGGUGCCCAGCUACCCUGGGGUCCCGGUGCCCAGCUACCCUGGGGUCCCGGUGCCCGGGGUCCCGCGGCAGUGCGCCGGGGCUGGUGCAGGUCGUGGAGCGGGACGCUGCCUGCGGGUGCCGGCGCUCAGGCGCAGCCGGGGGUGUCACCCCGUGUUCUCCCUCCUGGAAAAUAACCCUUGAAAGCCCCGAGUGAUACCCCCGAGGGGCUCUCUGCCCCCUUUAGACAGGAACCGAGUUCUCUAAAAAUCCUCCGUGACAGCCACGUUUUCUUCAGGACACGUGGAAUGUUUGUAGAUGUUUUUGUACAGAAAUAAUCUGUGCCAUUUGCUAUAUGCUUCCUUAUUUAUGUGGUCGCGGUACGAUCUGCCUGACUGAAUCCCGUCUGACUGAUGGCUUGCACGGAGACAAGUCAUUUAUUUUGAAAUGCCACAGCAGAGAAAUGGAAGGUUUCCCAAUGCAGGAAGCACGGUCAGCGUGAGCGCUGUAGCAGAGCUUUUGUUGGUGCAGUUUCUCGUUUGUUUUCUCAGCAUUAUUCAGACGUGAAUAUAAUUGUAAGAUAGCUUGUCUCCUUCCAAGUAUUCAGUAUAUGGAGAGGAUUAAUGACGUAAGGAUUGAAAGGUCCAAAAUUACCUUGGCCAUAACUAAUAACUCAGGCAAAUAUAGCAUAAAAGUGAUGUACUUCAGCGCUGAGAUGAGAACAUCCCUUUCAGUACUGAUGUCCUUACUGAAAGAACUAAUCCUAUUAAAUUUGUCAAAGUCGAGGUACUUGCUCCUUUGGCAGCUGAGUGACUUUUCAUGUCUAAUAAUAGUUGACAAGCUCAGUUGCAGAUAGUGGAAGAGGAAGAAUGUAACUGAGCUCUCUGUAAGCAAAGAAAUGGCAGGCAGCAGCGCAAGGUUGUGAUUAAAAAGCAAGAGUUAUUUCCGUGGGCAUAAAGCGAGGUGGAGCAAGAAACUGGCAAUUGCAGUGGUUCUGUUUAUACAGCUUAUUAGAGGAUUGCAUUUUACCUUCUUCAAGCCUAAACAUGAAAAAUAAGAAAUUUGAGAACCUUAUCGGAGCGCUGAGUUAAAAAUAUAAGAGAUGCUCACAGUGGAAUGACAGGUGAUGUGCUCUGAUAACAACUGAUUAAACUGAAAAUACUACUUUUGUAAGAUAUCAUAGCUAAAACACGAGGAAUGUUGUUAGAACUUGUGUACUCUGUUUCACAUUAUUUCAGUGUGAAGUGUCAACUAGAUUCCAGCUCUGUUUCAUAAGAGGAGAAAGGCCAUAAUAAACAAGUGAUCGAAUAAAGUUAAUGUGUGCUGUGGGUCGCAGGCUGGACUCGUGAAGUGGGUGGGGUGGUUGGACUGUUUUUGGCAGACCUCUGCACUCGUUUGAACGUAACAGCAAGAACAUGUUUGGCUGAGUGGUGCUGUGGGACUUUGUCCCGUGUUAAAAGCCAGCAUGGAAGGUACCAGAAUGGCUGAGGUUCCUUGACUUUGUUGUAUUUGUAAUGAGGUUCUGUUGUUAAUGCAAAGCAUUGCUACGUAUGGUCGGGAGUAUUGGAAACAGUUUAAAGAUUAGAAAAGAAGUGAAAAUUUUGAGAUAGCAAUAUCACUUGAAAAUUCUGAGAGAUGAUAACUUUGUAUUUGUUAUGCCAAGAAUUAUAGGAGAAUUCCUUGUUCUCAGCAUCUAGAUCCGAGACUCUCCAGCCUCUUCAGGAGACCAUGACUAACGGAAUUGACAAGGAUGGUCUUGUACCUUACGUAUUCCUCAUAUAAUAUGAACUGGAAUCUUUCCCAUGGCUACCAAGAAAACUAUUUUAAUAAAAAAAAUAUGACAUCAAAAUUAAAUUUCACUUCAAUAUAAGCCGCACCUUGUCAACAAUAACAAUCAUUUCCUUCCUCUAUAUUUUUUCUAUCAUUUUCUCUCUCAAAGUGGCAUCAGGGGGGUUUUGUGGGUAUAUCUUUCUUUUUUUUUUUUUCUUAAGUCCCUUUUGAUCCCUUCAGCCAAAGGAAAGCAAAUGUUGCUCCCUCAUGAGGUGGGCAAAGCUGACCAGGCUCAGCUAAAGUUGUUUGAAAGCAAUAUAGGAUGGCCGGCUUUUGCCACCCAGUGAGCAGAACACAAAGCUGGAGACCCAAACUGGUGUUCCCAGCUCAACAAUCCGUUGUGCUGACGUUAAUCUGCUGGGCGGCAGGUUUUGCAUUGUCUUUAUUGACGGGUGCAAAUCCCCACUAAAACCAGCGGGCUUUAGGCAAGGCCGUUAAAUGCGUGCUGCGUUGUUUCAGGCUUCUGACUACAUCUCUGCUGUGCGAAACUGAAAUAUCAUUGUGUGUGUAAACUGUACUGUUUGAACAGAAAAUAGGCUUGCAAAACUACAAACGGCUCAUCACUGAGUGGUAGCAUCAACUUGCUAGAAACAUCAUGAGACGAUGCUUUAGAGGGGAAUUACUAAGGAUUUGUGUCCUUUCAUAUUUGGCUUGGUUUCAUCUUGGAAGUCUGUGAAAACCGCAGCCAGGCUUCUGCUAACAGACUGGUACAGGUACAAAAUAAUUGGAACAUUCUCUGUAGAAAUGUUUGAGCUUACAUGUACGUGUCUGUAUAGAAAUACGCGUGUGUGCAGAAGGAAAAAACGAAGGAACUUGUGAAGUCCUCCACUGUGAAGUCCCCUCUGCUGCAUUAUGGCCUUCUGGCUGUUCUGCAGCUGCUGUAUUGAUUGAAUAGUCAUGACGUGGCUGGCUGUUUGGACAAAUCAGUUUAUCUACGUGAAGACAAUUUUCUCCUAUCUGCAAAUAUGGGUAACUUUUUCCAUGUCAGUACUCUUAAUGGCCUCUUAGUACAAAGGAAGAUCUGAAACUGAAGCACCUUGCUGUGUUUGCUCCCAGAAGAAUACAAGUGAUAGACUUUUUCUUCAGGUGGAUAUUUAGACCCCUGUGGAAAGCAGAGAAACAAGUGCUUUUGAAGACACUAGCAACAGACUUUGUUAAAUCUGCUUUAUUUAUAAGAGCAGCAACUUUCCCUUCAAAGCUGUGUUGACAGAAAUAUAUCCAAAACCGGAAUUUCCAUUGCUGCAUGGAAAAUACCUCACUGUUACAGUGCAGGCGCUCAUUUCCAUUGUUCAGAUGUGCAACUCUCAAAUUACUGUUUAGAUUGACACAUGUCUUCACCUGGCCUUUGAUGUAACCCUGUGGGAUUUCUCGCAUAGUGUGUUGUACUUCCACAGUUUUGUGUUCUUGUAUUGGAGAAGCUUGUUAGGGUGUUUUUGUCUUUUUAAUUAGAAGUAAUUCCUUGCUUUAGGGGAAGGAGUGUGUAACCUGAGGAGAGGGGAGGUCGUGGGAAGGCUUUUUCUGCUCUGGACCACGAGCACGGCUGGUGACUCUUUCCUUACUAGUGUCACCUGCAGCCCGCCUGGCCAGAAGAGCCGUAUUGACGAACAACGGCAGUUUACACAGACUGAUACCCUGCAGAGACAUCAGCCUCUGACUUGGUGUGCUGCCUCCCCGAAGGCAACAGGACUAGUCUUGUCCCUAGAGCCGCUCGCAAGCUUGAUUACCUGUGGGAGGGGUGCCAGUGCAAAUACGCCUAUUUCAUCAUGAACCUUGAAGGUCCGUGAUUAUUUUUUGUCCCUGAGAUUUGCGAGUUCCUGCUUUUUCAGCUAAUGAAAGGCCCGUGUAGAAUUACUCAUCUACUAAUAUUACUUAUAAACAGAUGAGGAAGAAGCCCAGAAAGGAGAGUUGAGUGAAUGGAGAAGUAGUUGAAUACAGUGUCAAUGCAACAGUGUGAAAGGCGCUUUCUGUAGAGCAAGACCUUGGCUUACUCUGUUGUUACUGAGGUGUAUUUCAUGUGAAAAUGUUUGAAGCAGAACUCUGGCUUGUGAUUCAAGGUUGUGAUAUUGCGUUUGAGUAGUUACUUACACAGGCAUGGUCUGCAAAUAUUUCACAAAACCAGUUUCAGAAGCAGGGAAUGGGUUGCUGUCUGAAGGUUGUUCAUUAGUAUUUGCUGGCAAUGUACUGGAAAACCUUAUCUUCUUGAAAAAAAGUAAAUUGAACUUGCAGAUACAAUGUGAACGCUAUACUAUCUCAAGGCUGUUCAUGUUUUAUUUGCAUAAAUUGCUUAAAUAAUUUCAAUGUACAUACUAAAAUAAUUUCUAUAAUAAUUAUCAAAGCUUUUCUUGUGUGAAGGAGAGAAGCGUUUGGGUAUUACUCAGAAUUCAGUGAAGGGAAAGGGUUUUUUUCCGUUUUGAACUGUAAUCAUUUCUGUAGUGAUUGUUUGACUGCAGUCAAAGCUGUUCCCCACUUGAAGGAUAUGGUAUCAUAUAAGCUACUUGCUGACUUUAUGUUACCUUGGGAUUUCAUAUACAGUGAAAGAUUUCUGUGGUGUGGUGUUGGGGUUUUUUUCCCCUUGUACAUCCAGUCCUACAAAGCAGUUGUAACUGUCUCAAGGGCUAGGCUGUUUGGCUAGAAUAAGAUAGAAAAAAAAGUAUAGCUGUCUGCAAUAUGAUGAAGACUUAGCAGAUUUACAGACUUGGCUUUGCUCUUGCAGCUGCGUGGUCUGUGAAGCUGCAUUAAAAGAAAUGGGAUUGUGCUAUGGAAUUUUAAAAUAAUAAAAAAACCCCUUUUAACACUUUGCUACCAGGUCCAGACAAGAUAAAAACCCCCAUCUUAUUUUAUGUUGCAAAAUACGAAAUACUCUCUGCAGAAAAUUUUUUGAAACAACCACUGUUCUAGUAGAAAAUACAUGCAAGUUCUGCGAAAUGUUGUUAUUGAAAGAGAAUUUCUGGACUUCCUGCCUGCUAUUCCCAUUUUAUAAUGUCUGCUGAGGCCGUUAUGUAAAAGAUCAUCUUUCUGUCUUGCAAAGACAGAAGAGUGGGCAGCUUAUCUAAGAUUAACCUUAAUUUUGUACUUUGGAGAAAUUGAGUAAAAUACGAGGGUUAAUGGAGAGCUUUUUGUUCAUGUAUUGUAAACUGGAUGAUUCAUAUCAAAUAUUUGUGGAGAAAAGCGUAACACCUUAGUCCAAGGCCAAGGCCUAAUUGCCUGUAUCUUGGAUACACGUUACAAAUGUAUAAAAUGUAUAGUUUCAUGGAUUGCUUCAAUAAAGUGCAAUUUUAAAAAGUU